AGAGUUUGAUCCUGGCUCAGAUUGAACGCUGGCGGCAUGCUUUACACAUGCAAGUCGGACGGCAGCACAGAGAAGCUUGCUUCUUGGGUGGCGAGUGGCGAACGGGUGAGUAAUAUAUCGGAACGUACCGAGUAAUGGGGGAUAACUAAUCGAAAGAUUAGCUAAUACCGCAUAUUCUCUGAGGAGGAAAGCAGGGGACCUUCGGGCCUUGCGUUAUUCGAGCGGCCGAUAUCUGAUUAGCUAGUUGGUGGGGUAAAGGCCUACCAAGGCGACGAUCAGUAGCGGGUCUGAGAGGAUGAUCCGCCACACUGGGACUGAGACACGGCCCAGACUCCUACGGGAGGCAGCAGUGGGGAAUUUUGGACAAUGGGCGCAAGCCUGAUCCAGCCAUGCCGCGUGUCUGAAGAAGGCCUUCGGGUUGUAAAGGACUUUUGUCAGGGAAGAAAAGGCUGUUGCUAAUAUCGACAGCUGAUGACGGUACCUGAAGAAUNAGCCCCGGCUNNCUNCGUGCCNGCAGCCGCGGUNNUNCGUNGGGUGCGNGCGUUNUUCGGNNUUNCUGGGCGUNNNGCGNGCGCCGNCGGUUNCUUNNGCCGGNUGUGNNUUCCCCGGGCUCCNCCUGGGNNCUGCGUUCUGNNCUGGGUGNCUNGNGUGUGUCNGNGGGNGGUNGANUUCCNCGUGUNGCCGUGNNNUGCGUNGNGNUGUGGNGGNNUNCCGNUGGCGCUGGCNGCCUCCUGGGNUNNCCCUGNCGUUCNUGCUCGNNAGCGUGGGUCGCCCACAAGGUUUGCUNCCCUGGUNGUCCNCNCCCUNNNCCCCCCUAAGGGCUGUUGGGCAACUAGAUUGUUUUAAUAGCGUAGCUAACGCGUGAAAUGGUCCGCCUGGGGAGUACGGUCGCAAGAUUAAAAUUCAAAGGAAAUUGACGGGGACCCGCACAAGCGGUGGAUGAUGUGGAUUAAUUCGAUGCAACGCGAAGAACCUUACCUGGUCUUGACAUGUACGGAAUCCUCCAGAGACGGAGGAGUGCCUUCGGGAGCCGUAACACAGGUGCUGCAUGGCUGUCGUCAGCUCGUGUCGUGAGAUGUUGGGUUAAGUCCCGCAACGAGCGCAACCCUUGUCAUUAGUUGCCAUCAUUAAGUUGGGCACUCUAAUGAGACUGCCGGUGACAAGCCGGAGGAAGGUGGGGAUGACGUCAAGUCCUCAUGGCCCUUAUGACCAGGGCUUCACACGUCAUACAAUGGUCGGUACAGAGGGUAGCCAAGCCGCGAGGUGGAGCCAAUCUCACAAAACCGAUCGUAGUCCGGAUUGCACUCUGCAACUCGAGUGCAUGAAGUCGGAAUCGCUAGUAAUCGCAGGUCAGCAUACUGCGGUGAAUACGUUCCCGGGUCUUGCACACACCGCCCGUCA
rnacentral:rRNA from 1 species